rnacentral:rRNA from 1 species
CCUACGGGUGGCAGCAGUGAGGAAUAUUGGUCAAUGGGCGCGAGCCUGAACCAGCCAAGUAGCGUGAAGGAUGACUGCCCUACGGGUUGUAAACUUCUUUUAUAAAGGAAUAAAGUGAGGCACGUGUGCCUUUUUGUAUGUACUUUAUGAAUAAGGAUCGGCUAACUCCGUGCCAGCAGCCGCGGUAAUACGGAGGAUCCGAGCGUUAUCCGGAGUUAUUGGGUUUAAAGGGAGCGUAGAUGGGUUGUUAAGUCAGUUGUGAAAGUUUGCGGCGUAACCGUAAAAUUGCAAUUGAUACUGGCAGUCUAGAGGACAGUUGAGGUAGGAGGAAUUCGUGGUGUAGCGGUGAAAUGCUUAGAUAUCACGAAGAACACCGAUUGCGAAGGCAGCUUACUAAACUGCCACUGACAUUGAUGCUCGAAAGUGUGGGUAUCAAACAGGAGUAGAUACCCCGGUAGUC